rnacentral:rRNA from 1 species
AGUGGCGGACGGGUGAGUAACGCGUGGGUAACCUGCCUCAGUACAGGGGGAUAACAGUUAGAAAUGACUGCUAACACCGCAUAAUAUAGCGAAACCGCAUGAUUUUUGCUAUCAAAAUAGUUUAUAGGUAUGAGAUGGGGCCCGCGUCUGAUUAGCUAGUUGGUGGGGUAAAAGCCUACCAAGGCGACGAUCAGUAGCCGGCUUGAGAGAGUGACCGGCCACAUUGGGACUGAGACACGGCCCAAACUCCUACGGGAGGCAGCAGUGGGGAAUAUUGGACAAUGGGGGAAACCCUGAUCCAGCCGACGCCGCGUGAGUGAAGAAGUAUUUCGGUAUGUAAAGCUCUAUCAGCAGGGAAGAUAAUGACAGUACCUGACUAAGAAGCCCCGGCUAACUACGUGCCAGCCGCCGC